rnacentral:rRNA from 1 species
UACGUAGGGGGCGAGCGUUGUCCGGAUUUAUUGGGCGUAAAGAGCUCGUAGGCGGUUCGAUAAGUCGGACGUGAAAUCUCCACGCUCAACGUGGAGGGGCCGUUCGAUACUGUCGUGACUCGAGUCCGGUAGGGGAGUGUGGAAUUCCCGGUGUAGCGGUGAAAUGCGCAGAGAUCGGGAGGAACACCCGUAGCGAAGGCGGCACUCUGGGCCGGUACUGGACGCUGAGGAGCGAAAGCGUGGGGAGCGAACAGG